rnacentral:rRNA from 1 species
CCUACGGGGGGCAGCAGUGGGGAAUAUUGCACAAUGGGGGAAACCCUGAUGCAGCGACGCCGCGUGAGUGAAGAAGUAAUUCGGUAUGUAAAGCUCUAUCAGCAGGGAAGAAAAUGACGGUACCUGAGUAAGAAGCCCCGGCUAACUACGUGCCAGCAGCCGCGGCAAUACGUAGGGGGCAAGCGUUAUCCGGAUUUACUGGGUGUAAAGGGAGCGUAGACGGCAGUGCAAGUCUGGAGUGAAAGGCGGGGGCUCAACCCCCGGACUGCUCUGGAAACUGUACGGCUGGAGUGCAGGAGAGGUAAGUGGAAUUCCUGGUGUAGCGGUGAAAUGCGUAGAUAUUAGGAGGAACACCAGUGGCGAAGGCGGAUUACUGGACUGUAACUGACGUUGAGGCUCGAAAGCGUGGGGAGCAAACAGGAUUAGAUACCCCGGUAGUC